rnacentral:rRNA from 1 species
UACGGAGGGUGCAAGCGUUAUCCGGAUUCACUGGGUUUACAGGGUGCGUAGGUGGGUCUGUAAGUCAGUGGUGAAAUCUCCGGGCUUAACCUGGAAACUGCCAUUGAUACUAUAGGUCUUGAAUUUUCUGGAGGUUAGCGGAAUAUGUCAUGUAGCGGUGAAAUGCUUAGAUAUGACAUAGAACACCAAUUGCGAAGGCAGCUAACUACGGGAGGAUUGACACUGAGGCACGAAAGCGUGGGGAUCAAACAGG